rnacentral:rRNA from 1 species
AUUGAACGCUGGCGGCAGGCUUAACACAUGCAAGUCGAGCGGAGACUUCGGUCUUAGCGGCGAACGGGUGAGUAAUACCUAGGAAUCUGCCCAUUAGCGGGGGACAACGUUUCGAAAGGAACGCUAAUACCGCAUACGCCCUACGGGGGAAAGCAGGGGAUCUUUUGACCUUGCACUAAUGGAUGAGCCUAGGCCGGAUUAGCUAGUUGGUAGGGUAAAGGCCUACCAAGGCGACGAUCUGUAGCUGGUCUGAGAGGAUGACCAGCCACACUGGAACUGAGACACGGUCCAGACUCCUACGGGAGGCAGCAGUGGGGAAUAUUGGACAAUGGGCGCAAGCCUGAUCCAGCCAUGCCGCGUGUGUGAAGAAGGCCUUCGGGUUGUAAAGCACUUUAAGCGAGGAGGAAAGUUUAUAGGUUAAUACCCUAUAGAAUUGACGUUACUCGCAGAAUAAGCACCGGCUAACUCUGUGCCAGCAGCCGCGGUAAUACAGAGGGUGCAAGCGUUAAU